GUGUCAGCCGCCGCGGUAAUACGGAGGGGGCGAACGUUGUUCGGAAUUACUGGGCGUAAAGGGUGCGUAGGCGGUUCGAUCAGUCUGAUGUGAAAUCCCCUCGCUCAACGAGGGAACUGCAUUGGAAACUGUCGAGCUCGAGGAUGGGAGAGGCAGGUGGAAUUCCUGGUGUAGCGGUGGAAUGCGUAGAUAUCAGGAAGAACACUCGUGGCGAAGGCGGCCUGCUGGCCCAUUUCUGACGCUGAGGCACGAAAGCCAGGGGAGCGAACGGGAUUAGAUACCCCGGUAGUCCUGGCCGUAAACGGUGAACACUAGGCGUCGGGGGUAUCGACCCCCUCGGUGCCGCAGCUAACGCAUUAAGUGUUCCGCCUGGGGAGUACGACCGCAAGGUUGAAACUCAAAUGAAUUGACGGGG
rnacentral:rRNA from 1 species